rnacentral:rRNA from 1 species
UAAGGAAUAUUGGUCAAUGGAGGCAACUCUGAACCAGCCAUGCCGCGUGCAGGAAGAAGGCCCUAUGGGUCGUAAACUGCUUUUGAACAAGAGAAAACCCCGGUACGUGUACUGGGUUGAUAGUAUUGUUAGAAUAAGCAUCGGCUAACUUCGUGCCAGCAGCCGCGGUAAGACGAAGGAUGCAAGCGUUAUCCGGAUUCAUUGGGUUUAAAGGGUGCGUAGGCGGACUGAUAAGUCAGUGGUGAAAUCUCUCGGCUUAACCGAGAAACUGCCAUUGAUACUGUUAGUCUAGAGUACAGAUGAUGUGGGCGGAAUAUGACAUGUAGUGGUGAAAUGCGUAGAGAUCGGGAGGAAGGCCGGUGGCGAAGGCGGCGCUCUGGAACGUUUCUGACGCUGAGGAGCGAAAGCUAGGGGAGCAAACAGGAUUAGAUACCCAAGUAGUCCCUGAGCGGGCUGGCAAGGCGCAU